rnacentral:rRNA from 1 species
GACGGAGGAUGCAAGCGUUGUUCGGAAUUACUGGGCGUAAAGGGCGCGUAGGCUGGUUUGUAAGUCUGAUGUGAAAUCCCCGGGCUUAACCCGGGACGUGCAUUGGAAACUGCAAAUCUUGAAUGCUUAAGAGGGUGGUGGAAUUCCAGGAGUAGAAGUGAAAUUCGUAGAUAUCUGGAGGAACACCUGAGGCGAAGGCGGCCACCUGGUAAGACAUUGACGCUGAGGCGCGAAAGUGCGGGGAGCAAACAGG